rnacentral:lncRNA from 1 species
CUUCAGUGCUGGUUGCCUCUUGGAUUUCUGGGAACAGGACAGCUGAGGCUGAAGGGAAGGGAGUAGCAGAGUGAGAGAAGAAGGCAGUUGGUGCAGAAGACAUUGUUAGGAGACAGUUGAGCCAGGAGGAGCUGAGCUGAGCAGAUAGGCUGCAACAGUUUUUAUGGUUUGGAGUAUUGGGAAAACUGGAAGAAGGAACUGUUUAAGCAGACUGCUGGGGAACUGAGGGAGGAACUAAGGAUUGGGGGAAACAUUUGAAGGGGCUGACCUGGAAACUGGAAGGAGGGCUGGCAGGGAGUUAAGAGAACUGGUUACUGGUCUAAAAUAGCUAGCCAUUUUACAAGUGGUGCCCAACAUGGGGCAAAGCAGAAUGGAAGGCUUGCUUUCAAGUACCGUAGAGCAAAAGGCAGAAAAGAAGAGAUGGAUACUUUAUUUCAAAAAGCUGACAGGGUGUUUGCUGAGGCUGUUGUUUGUUGUGUUGUUGGAACAUGCUCUGCAUAGUAUUCAGCAACAGUUUUUUUUCUCCCUUUCUUCAUUUCAAGAUAUUUUGUUUAUAAAACAGGUCAAAAGGCAGGCUGAGCAACUAAAGAAAAAUACAGAAAUGAAGCUUGGGAAUCCAAAAAAAUGGAAGAACUGGGAAAAACAAGGGAGCAUUUCACUGGCCCCAGAGAAUCAAGCUUUGUUCCCUCAAAGAAAACCCUGCUGAGUGAUCAAUCACCUGAUACACUGACAUACCCUGCUUCAGUUUACCCUGGAUGUUGAAGCUGAUCUUAGACAUAAUAAUGCUCAACCAGUUAAAGUGCAAAGUUCUUCCACAAGGAAUGUUAAAUAGUUCAAGGUGGUGACAGUAAGGCCUUUAUGUCUGGCUGAAACCAUUAAAAAUCUAAUAAGGCUC